rnacentral:rRNA from 1 species
AACGUAGGACGCGAGCGUUAUCCGGAGUUACUGGGCGUAAAGCGCGGGCAGGCGGUAGGACAAGUGGGAUGUGAAAGCGCUCGGCUAAACCGGGCGAGGCCAUUCCAAACUGUCCGACUGGAGGGCAGUAGAGGUGGGUAGAAUUCCGGGUGGAGUGGUGAAAUGCGUAGAGAUCCGGAGGAAUACCAGAGGCGAAGGCGGCCCACUGGGCUGCACCUGACGCUGAGCCGCGAAAGCCAGGGGAGCGAACGGG